GCCCGCCCUCUCACCGAGCAUGUUAGGUCGGCAACACUUUCUCCAGAUCGACUCCUUGUUCAUAAACAUCUUAAAUCCAGAUUGUUGAGUCACGGUUGACGUCCCGUGACCUCGUACAUAAUCUCAUAAAUCAAACUAAAAGUUCCUUUUCUUUGUGCAGACGUGAACGGAGACGAGGAGACGGAGGAGCCGCCCAAACCGGAGGUCAAAGAAGUGAAAGAGGACAACGCCUUCUACUCUAAGAAGUGUAAACUGUUCUAUAAGAAGGAAUCCGAGUUCAAAGAGAAAGGAGUGGGAACUCUGCACCUCAAACACACGCAGGACGGGAAGAUUCAGAUGAUCAUUCGCGCCGACACUAAUCUGGG